GACGAACGCUGGCGGCGUGCCUAAUACAUGCAAGUCGAACGCAGUGGGGACGGGUGAGUAACACGUGGCUAACCUCCCAUCAGAGGGGAUAACACUUGGAAACAGGUGCUAAACCCAUACUGCUGUAUGAACCCGCGGUGCAUUAGCUAGUUGGUGAGGUAACGGCGCACCAAGGCCACGAUGCAUAGCCGACCUUGGAGGGUGACCGGCCACACUGGGACUGAGACACGGCCCAGACUCCUACGGGAGGCAGCAGUAGGGAAUCUUCGGCAAUGGACGAAAGUCUGACCGAGCAACGCCGCGUGAGUGAAGAAGGCUUUCGGAUCGUAAAACGCUGGUGUUAGAGAAGCGGUAUCUAACAAGAAAGCCACGGCUAACUCCGUGCCAGCAGCCGCGGUAAUAC
rnacentral:rRNA from 1 species